rnacentral:rRNA from 1 species
AUUGAACGCUGGCGGCAGGCCUAACACAUGCAAGUCGAGCGGAUGAAGGGAGCUUGCUCCUGGAUUCAGCGGCGGACGGGUGAGUAAUGCCUAGGAAUCUGCCUGGUAGUGGGGGAUAACGUCCGGAAACGGGCGCUAAUACCGCAUACGUCCUGAGGGAGAAAGUGGGGGAUCUUCGGACCUCACGCUAUCAGAUGAGCCUAGGUCGGAUUAGCUAGUUGGUGGGGUAAAGGCCUACCAAGGCGACGAUCCGUAACUGGUCUGAGAGGAUGAUCAGUCACACUGGAACUGAGACACGGUCCAGACUCCUACGGGAGGCAGCAGUGGGGAAAAUUGGACAAUGGGCGAAAGCCUGAUCCAGCCAUGCCGCGUGUGUGAAGAAGGUCUUCGGAUUGUAAAGCACUUUAAGUUGGGAGGAAGGGCAGUAAGUUAAUACCUUGCUGUUUUGACGUUACCAACAGAAUAAGCACCGGCUAACUUCGUG